ACUACGGGAGGCAGCAGUGAGGAAUAUUGGUCAAUGGGCGCGAGCCUGAACCAGCCAAGUCGCGUGAGGGAUGACGGUACUACGGAUUGUAAACCUCUUUUGCCGGGGAGCAAGCGUGCGUCCGUGAACGCGCGUCGAGAGUACCCGGAGCAAAAGCAACAGCUAAUUCCGUGCCAGCAGCCGCGGUAAUACGGAGGAUGCGAGCGUUAUCAGAAUUUAUUGGGUUAAAAGGUUGCGUAGGCGGGAUGCAAAGUCAGCGGUAAACAUGCGGGGCUCAACUCCGUCGAGCUGUUGAAACUGGCGUUCUUGAGUGGGCGAGAAGUAUGCGGAAUGCGUGGUGUAGCGGUGAAAUGCAUAGAUAUCACGCAGAACUCCGAUUGCGAAGGCAGCAUACCGGCGCCCUACUGACGCUGAGGCACGAAAGCGUGGGUAUCGAACAGGAUUAGAUACCCGUGUAGUC
rnacentral:rRNA from 1 species